AGAGUUUGAUCAUGGCUCAGGAUGAACGCUAGCUGGAGGCUUAAUACAUGCAAGUCGAGCGGGAUUGGUCAGCAAUGGCCAUGAGAGCGGCGAACGGGUGAGUAACGCGUACACGACCUACCUUUGACUGGGGGAUAGCCCUGGGAAACUGGGAUUAAUACCGCAUAUAAUUCUCGAUAAUAAAGAUUGGGAAUGAAAGUUCAGGCGGUCAGAGAUGGGUGUGCGUCUGAUUAGCUAGUUGGUGAGGUAACGGCUCACCAAGGCGAUGAUCAGUAGGGGGCGUGAGAGCGUGGUCCCCCACACGGGUACUGAGACACGGACCCGACUCCUACGGGAGGCAGCAGUAAGGAAUAUUGGACAAUGGCCGCAAGGCUGAUCCAGCCAUCCAGCGUGCAGGAAGAAGGCCCUAUGGGUUGUAAACUGCUUUUAUCAGGGAAGAAACCUGUGGAUUUACUCCGCAGCUGACGGUACCUGAAGAAUAAGCACCGGCUAACUCCGUGCCAGCAGCCGCGGUAAUACGGAGGGUGCGAGCGUUAUCCGGAAUUACUGGGUUUAAAGGGUGCGUAGGCGGCUAAGUAAGUCAGGAGUGAAAGUUUGCGGCUCAACCGUAAAAUUGCUUUUGAUACUGCAUAGCUAGAAUUAGGAUGAGGUCAGCGGAAUGUGGCAUGUAGCGGUGAAAUGCAUAGAUAUGCCAUAGAAC
rnacentral:rRNA from 1 species